AUGAGUAACUAAUGUGCCAUAGUGGUCGCUUGGGCCAGAGUAGUACUGGGAUGGGUGACCUCUCGGGAAGUCCUAGUGUUGCACCCU
rnacentral:rRNA from 1 species